rnacentral:rRNA from 1 species
GGGCCCUAACCACACGUGACUCCCCCCUGAUUUAAAGCAUUUUUAUACGCGGAGGAAAAGAAACUAACCAGG